CUCUGUGACUCCUACGGGAGGCAGCAGUGGGGAAUAUUGCACAAUGGGCGCAAGCCUGAUGCAGCCAUGCCGCGUGUGUGAAGAAGGCCUUCGGGUUGUAAAAGCACGUUUCAGUUGUGAGGAAGGUGGUGUCGUUAAUAGCGGCAUCAUUUGACGUUAGCAACAGAAGAAGCACCGGCUAACUCCGUGCCAGCAGCCGCGGUAAUACGGAGGGUGCGAGCGUUAAUCGGAAGUUACUGGGCGUAAAGCGCAUGCAGGUGGUUUGUUAAGUCAGAUUGUGAAAGCCCGGGGACUCGAACCUCGGAACUGCAUUUUGAAACUGGCAGACUAGAGUACUGUAGAGGGGGUAGAAUUUCAGGUGUAGCGGUGAAAUGCGUAGAGAUCUGAAGGAAUACCGGUGGCGAAGGCGGCCCCCUGGACAGAUACUGACACUCAGAUGCGAAAGACGUGGGGAGGCAAACAAGGAUUAGAUACCCUUCGUAG
rnacentral:rRNA from 1 species